rnacentral:rRNA from 1 species
CUCUGGGGAUAACAGGCUGAUACCGCCCAAGAGUUCAUAUCGACGGCGGUGUUUGGCACCUCGAUGUCGGCUCAUCUCAUCCUGGGGCUGAAGCAGGUCCCAAGGGUAUGGCUGUUCGCCAUUUAAAGAGGUACGCGAGCUGGGUUUAGAACGUCGUGAGACAGUUCGGUCCCUAUCUACCGUGGGCGUUGGAAAUUUGAGAGGAUCUGCUCCUAGUACGAGAGGACCAGAGUGGACGAACCUCUGGUGUUCCGGUUGUUUCGCCAGAAGCAUUGCCGGGUAGCUACGUUCGGAUGGGAUAACCGCUGAAAGCAUCUAAGCGGGAAGCCCACCUCAAGAUGAGAUUUCCCUAAAGAGCCGUUGUAGACGACGACGUUGAUAGGUUGGGUGUGGAAGUGUAGUGAUACAUGUAGCUAACCAAUACUAAUUGCUCGUUUGGCUUGACCAU